AGUGAACGCUGGCGGUAGGCCUAACACAUGCAGGUCGAACGGCAGCACAGUAAGAGCUUGCUCUUACGGGUGGCGAGUGGCGGACGGGUGAGGAAUACAUCGGAAUCUACUUUUUCGUGGGGGAUAACGUAGGGAAACUUACGCUAAUACCGCAUACGACCUACGGGUGAAAGCAGGGGAUCUUCGGACCUUGCGCGAUUGAAUGAGCCGAUGUCGGAUUAGCUAGUUGGCGGGGUAAAGGCCCACCAAGGCGACGAUCCGUAGCUGGUCUGAGAGGAUGAUCAGCCACACUGGAACUGAGACACGGUCCAGACUCCUACGGGAGGCAGCAGUGGGGAAUAUUGGACAAUGGGCGCAAGCCUGAUCCAGCCAUACCGCGUGGGUGAAGAAGGCCUUCGGGUUGUAAAGCCCUUUUGUUGGGAGAGAAAAGCAGCAGGUUAAUACCCCGCUGUUCUGACGGUACCCAAAGAAUAAGCACCGGCUAACUUCGUG
rnacentral:rRNA from 1 species